rnacentral:rRNA from 1 species
UACGUAGGUCCCGAGCGUUGUCCGGAUUUAUUGGGCGUAAAGCGAGCGCAGGUGGUUUAAUAAGUCUGAAGUUAAAGGCAUUGGCUCAACCAAUGUACGCUUUGGAAACUGUUAAACUUGAGUGCAGAAGGGGAGAGUGGAAUUCCAUGUGUAGCGGUGAAAUGCGUAGAUAUAUGGAGGAACACCGGUGGCGAAAGCGGCUCUCUGGUCUGUAACUGACACUGAGGCUCGAAAGCGUGGGUAGCGAACAGG